rnacentral:lncRNA from 1 species
UGCAGCAACUCAGACCUUCCAUUCAUCCUUAAGAUGAGAGAGACAUCCAAAGGUUGGAGAGAGAGAGAGAGAGAGUAGAGAGGAGAGGAGGUUUAAGGGAGGUUUAGGUCUACCAACUGGUAGUUAGAGAUUGCACUCUUUAACCAAACACCAUCAACAGCAAGAACCAAGUCAAGCAACACUAACGAUUGUAACAACUAGCUGAUAGAAAUCAUAGAAAUUUAGAAAUAGAACCAUUAAAUGGGAGAUAGUUUUUUAAGCAAGAAUUUGGGCUUGUGAGACAAAAAAAGAAACAGAGCAAUCAGAUAGGUAUAGAGAGAGAUGGACGAGUCUUUUAUGUAGCUAUCUCAGGUGGGUAUGGAUGGAAUGAUGGGAUAGAGAAUAUAUACUUAUGAUAAGAAAAGGAGAGUAAAGAGAUGAUGAUUUAUUAUGUACUUUGAGCUACAAUAGUUCAUUUCUGGGUUGUUGUUUUUUCCUUUUUAUUUUGUUUUGAAUUUUGGUGUGUGUUUAUGUGUGUGAGAGAUUAAUUAGUGAAAAGGUAAUUCUCUGGGUAUCUUGGGAUCGGUAUGUUUCCAUUCAAGUAGGAUUGUUUUGGCCGAUCGGAGCUUUUCUGUUCCCCACAAGACACACAACUGUGACUGGUUUUCAGGUAUUUUUAUUAUUUUAUUAGUAAAUUAUUAUUAAUUUGUCUGACUUUGUUUUCCUUAUCAUCUUUUCUGCUGUUGUGAUAGAGAAUAUGCUAUCUUUUUCUCUCUGAACUAGACAAUGGAUAUAUGAUGAUAUUUAAAUUAAGAGUUGAUGGCUGUAAUUCCUUUAGGUAAAUUUCUUGGAUUAUUGGGUUAUCAAUCUUGCUCCAUAUACUUCCUUUUCUUUUAAUCUAUCUCUGCUUUUGAACAAUUUAUAUAUGAUAAAAUCUUAAAAAAUGUUGCUUUCCUUUAUUUUUGGUUAUCUACAUUGAUAGGCAAUUGUGUAUUUGUCUGGCUUUAUCUUCUGAUAUUAUUUUUUGGGUACUUUACCAACUGGAUUUUCCCCUAGGUUUCUGUCAUCACUGCUCAUUUAUUUAGUCAAGCUAGUAAAAGGG